CGCGUAGGCGGCUUUGCAAGCCAGAGGUGAAAUGCCUGAGCUCAACUUAGGAAUUGCCUUUGGGACUGCAAGGCUUCGAGGACUGGAGAGGUGAGUGGAAUUCCCAGUGUAGAGGUGAAAUUCGUAGAUAUUGGGAAGAACACCAGUGGCGAAGGCGGCUCACUGGCCAGUUUCUGACGCUAAAGUGCGAAAGCGUGGGGAUCAAACAGGAUUAGAUACCCUGGUAGUCCACGCUGUAAACGAUGAGUGCUAGGCGUCGGCACGCUUGCGUGUCGGUGCCGCAGCUAACGCGUGAAGCACUCCGCCUGGGGAGUACGGUCGCAAGAUUAAA
rnacentral:rRNA from 1 species